AGUCGAGCGGUAACAGGGGAGCUUGCUCCUGCUGACGAGCGGCGGACGGGUGAGUAACGCGUAGGAAUCUACCUAGUAGAGGGGGACAACAUGUGGAAACGCAUGCUAAUACCGCAUACACCCUAAGGGGGAAAGGAGGGGACUCUUCGGAACCUUCCGCUAUUAGAUGAGCCUGCGUGAGAUUAGCUAGUUGGUAGGGUAAAGGCCUACCAAGGCGACGAUCUCUAACUGGUCUGAGAGGAUGACCAGUCACACUGGGACUGAGACACGGCCCAGACUCCUACGGGAGGCAGCAGUGGGGAAUAUUGGACAAUGGGCGGAAGCCUGAUCCAGCCAUGCCGCGUGUGUGAAGAAGGCCUUAGGGUUGUAAAGCACUUUCAGGGGUGAGGAAGGGUGACUGGCUAAUAUCCAGUUAUCUUGACGUUAGCCCCAGAAGAAGCACCGGCUAACUCUGUGCCAGCAGCCGCGGUAAUACAGAGGGUGCAAGCGUUAAUCGGAAUUACUGGGCGUAAAGCGCGCGUAGGUGGUUUGUUAAGUCGGAUGUGAAAUCCCAGGGCUCAACCUUGGAAUGGCACCCGAUACUGGCUAGCUAGAGUAUGGUAGAGGGGUGUGGAAUUUCCUGUGUAGCGGUGAAAUGCGUAGAUAUAGGAAGGAACAUCAGUGGCGAAGCGACACCCUGGACUAAUACUGACACUGAGUGCGAAAGCGUGGGGAGCAAACAGGAUUA
rnacentral:rRNA from 1 species